rnacentral:rRNA from 1 species
CAUUCACGGAGAGUUUGAUCCUGGCUCAGGACGAACGCUGGCGGCGUGCUUAACACAUGCAAGUCGAACGGUGAAGCCCUUCGGGGUGGAUCAGUGGCGAACGGGUGAGUAACACGUG